rnacentral:rRNA from 1 species
GUGGGGAAUCUUAGACAAUGGGCGCAAGCCUGAUCUAGCCAUGUCGCGUGAGCGAUGAAGGCCUUAGGGUUGUAAAGCUCUUUCGUGGGGGAAGAUAAUGACUGUACCCCAAGAAGAAGCCCCGGCUAACUCCGUGCCAGCAGCCGCGGUAAUACGGAGGGGGCUAGCGUUGUUCGGAAUUACUGGGCGUAAAGCGCACGUAGGCGGACUGGAAAGUCAGGGGUGAAAUCCCGGGGCUCAACCCCGGAACUGCCUUUGAAACUCCCAGUCUUGAGUUCGAGAGAGGUGAGUGGAAUUCCGAGUGUAGAGGUGAAAUUCGUAGAUAUUCGGAGGAACACCAGUGGCGAAGGCGGCUCACUGGCUCGAUACUGACGCUGAGGUGCGAAAGCGUGGGGAGCAAACAGGAUUAGAAACCCCGGUAGUCC